CUUAGAUGCCUUUUCCAGCAGUGCAGCUAGAAGGCUGUGGUGUUCCAUGUGGUCUAUGGGAUCUCCAGGCCGAGUUACUGCACUGGGAAGCACUAACAGGGUUGGGGUAACAUUUUAAAAAACCUGAACAAAAGCUGCAGCAUGAAGUAUUGAAGCUUUCUGCAAGAUCUUUCCUGCUGUCUGACCAGUCAGAUUCCCAGCUGCCCUCGGUGCUUCAAGUGUCCUGGAUCAUUCAAAAGAGAAGACUGCGAGCCACUGGCAGAGAAAACUUAAACUUUUAAUUUUUAAUUUUCAGCAACUGGAAAGGGCCUUGAUUACAGAGGUGUGUGAGCCGUGUGGUGAUGCAGCCAUUAAGGUAUGACCAGGGGCCCAAAAACACAGGCACACAAGAAGAACCCAUCAAAAGUCGGUAUUGAAAUGACAGUAUGUUCCUUAGGUCGCUUGUGCUUUGCCACUUCAUACAAUAUAUCCUCAUCAAUAGGAGUCACACCGCCUAAGAAGCAUUUUCCUCUUUGAAUCACUCAUCCACCAACUUUUUUCAGCAUGGUGCCUCAUGACUGACAGAACCACAUUGGGAAGGUUUUCUGGGGCAGAACAAAGAUGGUCUGUUUCCUUCCAAUGAAAAGCUUGUCUGGCAUUAGGUGGGAAAUUGGCUCUGUGGCAGAUCUGCAUCUGGAUAGCAGGACCCAAUUCUCAAAGAAAAAAAUCAAGCUACAUAUAAUGGGGGGAGGGGAGGACACCCAAACCUCACACCUCUGUCAGGGAUCACCAUCCUCCCCACCCCACAACACUUUUCUGAAUCACCAAGAGUCUUUGGAGCAGAGUCAAACAAGCAAGCAAAACCAGCCAGCCUACAAUAGAGGGGUUUGAAGAGGAACUCCGUCUCAGGGGUAGGGGUGCUGUUUAUAGGGUUGCCAGAUGGUUUCAACAAAAAUACCGGACACGCUUGACAU